GGCCCAAUCCCAGCCUCAGCUCCAGCUCCAGGCCGUGCUGGUGACAACACUACACCCUGCACUUUGACUAAAAUUCAGCAAAAUGUGGUCUGUGGGUUUGCCUGGCCAUGACACAAUUGGAUCAUUCCCUGGAACAUUUAUUGGAGUCAGAGUCAGCAUCAUCACUGUGGUUGCUCUGAGGGCAGGGGAACAAGUUAAUGGGAAGCUGUGACAAACACCUUACUCAGUGUUCACACAGCAACAUAAUUCCUGCCACAUCUAUGGAAGAAGAAUUUGCUGCCUGUGCCUGCUGGGCCUGCUCUUCUUCAGGACCACGAGGUCUUCACCAGCCACUACAAAUCCUCCAAGAUGGCCAUCAAAAGAUUUCUGAAGACCUUGCCAUGGUCCAUUUCUCUUUGUUUGCCAUUGGCAUUGCCCAACAAACCCUUUUGACUGCCACCCAAAGACAAAACACCCUUAGGACUUGGUCCUAAUUAAUUUCUCUUUCACCUACACGUGUGGGUGUCCGGCUUUCACUGGUGAGGCAGCUGCUCACUUUCCUCCAGACACAUGAGAGCAGUGCCUGGGGAGUAUGUCACAGCCAUGGUGUGACCUCUCAUGACAAUCCUUCCUACCAGAGCCAUUGAACUUCACAUUAACUCAACCAAACGUGUGCCUGUUCAGUCUGUGAUCAGGAUCAUUGUGGCCUCGCUGGGUGAGGGGGUGAGUGCUUUGUUGACAUGAAAAUAACGCAGUUCACUUGCAGCAGUCAAACUCAGUGUGUAUUUUCUGUGUGCAAAUGAUGAAACACCUCAGAACUAACUCGGUGAGGAGGAAGAUGGGGCAUGACCUCAGAGAGAUGCAUCCUCAUGUCUUGGGGGAGAGCAGCAUUGCAGGUCACACACCCACUGGUCCCCACGGAGGGGGAGGACAAUGCUUGGAACCCAGGGCUCCCUGCAGUGAUCCUUCAGCAGUGCCACAGCUGGGGCAGCCUCG